rnacentral:lncRNA from 1 species
GAGCUUUUCCAGAGGAAGGGCGAUGAGAAGAGUCGCAGCUGAAUAGUGGGAGAAAAAGCCUGGUAUUUAUUGCUUUUGUUUGGCUUUUGGCUACAGAGACAGGAACCUUCUAAUGGGGAGACAAAUUUGGUUGGUAGGCCAAAGAGCUCACAAGGACCAACACCCCUCCCCCCUUCGAGGGUCAGGAAUCAGCUUGAAGCACAAGGAUCUUCAUUUACUAGGUUCAGUGAAGGUCUCUGCAGAGCAACCCAGGGAAGACCCUAUGACAAGGAAAAUGUAGCAAGCCCUUAUAUGCAGGAUGAUAAGACGGAGCCAUGCAUGGUAGAGCUGGCCUGUGACCCCAGGACUCGAGGUGCUGAGGCAGAAGGAUUGCUGCAAGCUUAAGGACAACCUGGGCUACAUACCAUCCGCCUCACACAAUGGACUGAAAAGCA